rnacentral:rRNA from 1 species
GAUGAACGCUAGCGGCAGGCUUAACACAUGCAAGUCGAGGGGUAUAUGCUUUCGGGCAUAGAGACCGGCGCACGGGUGCGUAACGCGUAUGCAAUCUGCCUUUCACAGAGGGAUAGCCCAGAGAAAUUUGGAUUAAUACCUCAUAGCAUAGCACAAUCGCAUGAUUGAGCUAUUAAAGUCACAACGGUGAAAGAUGAGCAUGCGUCCCAUUAGCUAGUUGGUAAGGUAACGGCUUACCAAGGCUACGAUGGGUAGGGGUCCUGAGAGGGAGAUCCCCCACACUGGUACUGAGACACGGACCAGACUCCUACGGGAGGCAGCAGUGAGGAAUAUUGGUCAAUGGGCGCAAGCCUGAACCAGCCAUGCCGCGUGCAGGAUGACGGUCCUAUGGAUUGUAAACUGCUUUUGUACGGGAAGAAACACUCCUACGUGUAGGAGCUUGACGGUACCGUAAGAAUAAGGAUCGGCUAACUCCGUGCCAGCAGCCGCAGUAAUAC